AGCAGCCGCGGUAAUUCCAGCUCCAAUAGCGUAUAUUAAAGUUGUUGCAGUUAAAAGGCUCGUAGUUGAAUUUCGAGAUCAAAUUGUUGGUCGUGCCUUGGUACGCACUGGCAUUAUUGGUUUCUCCCUUCUGACGAACCAUGAUGUCAUUAAUUUGGUGUCUUGGGGAAUCAGGACUGUUACUUUGAAAAAAUUAGAGUGUUUAAAGCAGGCCCACGCUUGAAUACAUUAGCAUGGAAUAAUGAAAUAGGACGUUUGAUUCUAUUUUGUUGGUUUCUAGGAUCGACGUAAUGAUUAAUAGGGAUAGUUGGGGGCAUUAGUAUUCAAUUGUCAGAGGUGAAAUUCUUGGAUUUAUUGAAGACUAACUACUGCGAAAGCAUUUGCCAAGGAUGUUUUCAUUAAUCAAGAACGAAAGUUAGGGGAUCGAAGACGAUCAGAUACCGUCGUAGUCUUAACCAUAAACUAUGCCGACUAGGGAUCGGAUGAUGUUAAUUUUUAAUGACUCAUUCGGCGUCCG
rnacentral:rRNA from 1 species